CAGGUCAUAGCAAUUGCCACAACUGAAGGAUUCAAGAAUGAAGCUAAAAACAUGCUAGUUGCAUCUGGAUGGAUAGACAACGACGUGAAGAGGAGUUGAAAGGGCCAUCGAAAUUCCAUGGCUUCUUCUCCUCGGAUGUUCAGUCCUUUUCGAUAAGCGUUUUCGGAGUAACUCUUACCAGCCGCAUCGACAUGCUUCGUGAGAACCGGAAGCCAAAAAGGGUAUUGGAUAUAGGCCUCCUUACCCUUGGACAAUGGGAAUUCUUGGUUUCUUGCUGAGAUUUAUGCAAUGCCGAACAUGAUGAUGAUCCUCAAAUUUUAGAUUGAGGUAAUUCUAUAUUAUUUGGUUGCUUCAGUUUUCUAUUUUUAUUCAAUGGUACUAUUGGAGGUUGAUUUUGUAAUCACGAUAAUAGUAUGCUACACCUAGCCCUCAUUCAUACGGAACUUUGACCGGGGAUGACAAGUGAGUUAGCUUAGGAUAUUCUGACCAGCUUCCUUAUGCUCAAGGCCUUUUACAAGGACAAUCAGAAUAUGCAGUUAGUCAAGUCUCUCCACAUCCAUCACACUUGUAUUAAAUACUUACUAACGAUCUAUUACUUUUGCAACAAACUUUUGUAUUGUCGCAGGUACAACAACUAAUAUUGAAAACCAAAUGGUUGUCAAUAAGAAGCUUUAUACUAUGGCUUCAUUCCA